rnacentral:rRNA from 1 species
UACAGAGGGGGCCAGCGUUAUUCGGAAUUAUUGGGCGUAAAGGGCGCGUAGGCGGCCCAUGCGUGUCUUCCGUGAAAUCCCUCGGCUUAACUGGGGACGUGCGGAAGAAACUGCAAGGCUCGGAGUCCGGGAGAGGGGGGGUGGAAUUCCCGAGUGUAGCGGUGAAAUGCGUAGAUAUUGGGAGGAACGACCGGUGGCGAAGGCGGCCCCCUGGACCGGUCAGCGUGACGCUGAGGCGCGAAAGCGUGGGUAGCAAAGCGG